GGUGAGUAACACGUGGGUGAUCUGCCCUGCACUUCGGGAUAAGCUUGGGAAACUGGGUCUAAUACCGGAUAGGAGCCAUCUUUAGUGUGGUGGUUGGAAAGUUUUUUCGGUGUAGGAUGAGCUCGCGGCCUAUCAGCUUGUUGGUGGGGUAAUGGCCUACCAAGGCGGCGACGGGUAGCCGGACUGAGAGGUUGUCGGCCACAUUGGGACUGAGAUACGGCCCAG
rnacentral:rRNA from 1 species